rnacentral:rRNA from 1 species
GACGAACGCUGGCGGCGUGCCUAAUACAUGCAAGUAGAACGCUGAAGGAGGAGCUUGCUCUUCUGGAUGAGUUGCGAACGGGUGAGUAACGCGUAGGUAACCUGCCUGGUAGCGGGGGAUAACUAUUGGAAACGAUAGCUAAUACCGCAUAACAGUAGAUGUUGCAUGACAUUUGCUUAAAAGGUGCAAUUGCACCACUACCAGAUGGACCUGCGUUGUAUUAGCUAGUUGGUGGGGUAACGGCUCACCAAGGCGACGAUACAUAGCCGACCUGAGAGGGUGAUCGGCCACACUGGGAAUGAGACACGGCCCAGACUCCUACGGGAGGCAGCAGUAGGGAAUCUUCGGCAAUGGACGGAAGUCUGACCGAGCAACGCCGCGUGAGUGAAGAAGGUUUUCGGAUCGUAAAGCUCUGUUGUAAGAGAAGAACGAGUGUGAGAGUGGAAAGUUCACACUGUGACGGUAUCUUACCAGAAAGGGACGGCUAACUACGUG